rnacentral:lncRNA from 1 species
CUAACCGAUAAUCGAUAACCUCAGCAAAACUAAGAAUAUCUUAAAUCUCUCAUAACGCUUGGUGAGAAUUUCAACCUUCAUCCUUAAGACUCUUUUUAGAAUGAGAAAAGAAUAUCGUCGAAAAGGCUACUACGAAGUAAGCAGAUUAAGGAAGACAACUCGAGUUACAAAGGAGGGGUCGGCUAGACCAACAACUCGAAGUAGAGGAUAAAAAUUUUAAUCAUCACUUAAAGAAGUUACUAAAAUCUAGGUAUGACUCUAAGGUUCAAAGUUCCCAAAUAAAAGGCUUGGUUGAAUAAAUUUUCUAAUCAAUAAGCUUUAUUAACUAAGUUCUUCCAAUAGUGUGAGCCACUCAAAAAAUACAUGGAAAUUAGUCUGGUCUGAGGAAGUAGAUCAAUGAUAAAAUCUCAAAUAAAAACUUUGGAAUGUGACACCUAAAUGUACAUCCUCAAAACAUACCAUAAUGUUUCCCUUCACCAUGCCACAGACUAUAGAGUCUUCACAACUACCUCGAUAUUCCGUUCACUCAAACACCUUAGCUCUGCUUUAGGGCCAUCAACUUGUCACCACUCUACAUCUUUCCAUGACGAGGAAAUUCUUCACCUUAAGUCAAAGGACGCUCGUCAACGUGACCUUCUAAAAUGUCAGACAAGUAGGCAAAACUGCUUAAAACUUAGGAAAACUAAUAUAUUUUUCGCAUUCAACGAGGUGGCAAGAUUCAAACAUUAGACUCGAGAACCAAGAAUGCUCACAUCACGUGUGUGAUGAAUGCAAUACUGCCCAACUUAUGCUCUGAUACCAAACUGACAUACCCCGACCCGAAAUGUCCACUAGGACUCCAAAUCGAGCUGUGCUGGCC